GUAUAUGUAUAUAUACUCUACAGUUCAUAAGUUCUUAUCAGAUAACGUUGACUCACUGUAAAAUAUAGUUACAAAUGUUAAUCAUCAACAACAUAAUAUACAUAUAUAUAUAUAUAUAUAUAUAUAUAUAUACACCCACACACUCACACAUACAUACACACACAUACACAUACACACACGAGAUAUGUACUUGUAAGUACAGAUGUGUGAACAUAAAUGUGUGUGUGUGUGUGUAUGUAAUGAUUAUUGCUUCCAAUUUAUUGCCAAGACAUUGAAAAGAAAAAAAAAGACAAAUGUAAAUAAAGGAGUCUGUUGUUACCGUUAUAGGGCGAAAAUCGGAACAUAUGAAUCUUUUGUUAUGAAACAAAAACCAUUUUAGUGUUACUGUUUCACUGGCAUAUUUCAGUUUUAAAACCAAAACUCCAGAACCAUAAAAAAUACAGUACCACUUCUAAAUGACUUAUUUUCUUUAGCGCCGGUUCAAUUUAUAAAAAAUAAUCUCUUAGAAGUUAUUUUUGUUUGUUUUCUUAAUUAUUAACCAUUUCCAUCUCCUUACCCCUCUUUCCCUGAAGACCACCCCCUCUGGUUCUAUGAUGCAAAACCAUGUUUAUAAAUUAAUCAAAAUGUUUCAUCAUAGUUUUUAUCAAACAAACUGUUGUUAAUAUGUUUCUCCAUCACAGACAUAAAAAUGACAAAGUUAGCUAUUUUGCAAAAUUCCUCCAAAUUCUUGAUUAUUUUCCAAAAUUUAUUAAAAUUCUUAAACAAUUGUAUUUGAUUAAAAAUACAGGACCAUUCUGUAGUUUUUUUUAUUUUCUUUAGCGCCGGUUCAAUUUAUAAAAAAAAAUUUCUUAGAAGUUAUUUUCGUUUGUUUUCUUAAUUUUUAACCUUUUCCAUCUCCUUACCCAACUUUCCCCGAAGACUACCACCUCUGUUCUAUGAUUCAGAACAAUGUUUCAAAUUGUUCAUAAAUUAAUCAAAAUAUUUCAUCAUAGUUUUUAUCGAACAAACUGUUGUUAAUAUGCUUCUCCAUCACAGACAUAAAAAUGACAAAGUUAGUUAUUUUACAAAAAUUCCUCCAAAUUCUUCAUUGAAUUUAAUAAGAAAUACAGGACCACUCUCUAGUUUAGGUAUGGCACUACAAUUGUGAGAAAUGAUCAAUGGAAAUUUUGGAAAUAUUUCCAAAUCUUCUGACAAUUCUCUUAAUGUUAUUUCUUUGACUCCUGACAGUUCCAAACAGAUCCAUUGGUUGACACCUCUCACUUGCAGGGAAAGUAGUAAUGAUCUGUUUAUCCCUUAUGAGGACUAUCUAUAAUUAAAAGAAGACUCGAAAGAAAAAAGUAAACCCAACUAUAUAGCCAGGAAAGUGACACAAAUUAACCUCAAAACCCAGUCUCCAGCAACAUAGAUAUACUAACCGUAGUACUGAUAAAAAUAAAAACUACAUCAGUUGAACAAAACUUAGAAUUAAGUUCUUUGUUGCUAAAAACAAUUCUUUGAAGCCAUCAAUUGUCUGCCUUUUUUAUUUUAUUUAUUUAUUUUUAUUAUUAUUAUUAUUUUUUUUUUUUAACUGUCCUCAUUUUUUCUGGAUUUUUUUUCACGUUGUUGUUAAUGAAAAUUUCAUAUUCAAAUAUUUAUAGAAUGAAAUUUUAUUGCCAACAUAAAGUAGAAUAAGUUAUUGAAUUACUGUAUUAUGGUUUCUUAAAUGCCAUGUUAUUGUAUACCAUCAUUAGAUGUAUAUUUCUUUAUUAUUUAUAGCUAUCUUCCAUACAAACCAAAUAAAUUAAUAAGAAAUUUUAAAUAUCCUCAUUGUCUAUCUUUACUGUGAGAAAAAAAAAGUAACUGUUGUCUCUUUUCUUGCCCAUGAAAAAAAUCAUUGUCUUCCCCUGUUUUUACUGUGAAAAAAAAACAUUGUGUUCUCCUCUCUUUCCUAUUAAAAGAAAACACUGUUGUCUUUGCUGUCUUCUGUGUUUCCCUUUGAAAAAAAAACUGUUGUUGCUUGUGUUUCCUUUAAAAAAAAUAUUGUCUCCUGUUAAAAUCAAUUGUUGUUUCCCCUCUUUCCAGUUAAAAAAAAAAUUAUCUCCCAUCUCCCCCUGUUAAAAAAAUAUUUUCUCCUGUUAAAAAUAUUGUUUCCUCCUACGUUUCCUGUUAAAAAAAA